rnacentral:lncRNA from 1 species
CUCUUUUACUUGCACCAUUACACCUUAACCCCUCUCAUUUGCACAAUUACAUCUUAGCCCCUCUCAUUUGCACAAUUACAUCUUAGCCCCUCUCAUUUGCACAAUUACAUCUUAGCCCCUCUCAUUUGCACAAUUUUAUACAUUUUUAUUUACUCUUAUUUCAAUAUUAAAAUUCGGUACACUACAUCCUCCCCUCCUUAAAAGAAGUUUCGUCCUCGAAACUUAAAAUCAUACCUCAACUAGACUCGGGGAAGA